rnacentral:rRNA from 1 species
UACGAAGGGGGGCUAGCGUUGCUCGGAAUUACUGGGCGUAAAGGGCGCGUAGGCGGAUACUUAAGUUAGAGGUGAAAGCCCAGGGCUCAACCCUGGAACAGCCUUUAAUACUGGGUAUCUUGAGUUCGGGAGAGGUGAGUGGAACUCCGAGUGUAGAGGUGAAAUUCGUAGAUAUUCGGAAGAACACCAGUGGCGAAGGCGACUCACUGGCCCGAUACUGACGCUGAGGCGCGAAAGCGUGGGGAGCAAACAGGG